rnacentral:rRNA from 1 species
UACAGAGGGUGCAAGCGUUACUCGGAAUUACUGGGCGUAAAGCGUGCGUAGGUGGUUUGUUAAGUCUGAUGUGAAAGCCCUGGGCUCAACCUGGGAAUUGCAUUGGAUACUGGCAGGCUAGAGUGCGGUAGAGGGUAGUGGAAUUCCCAGUGUAGCAGUGAAAUGCGUAGAGAUCGGGAGGAACACCAGUGGCGAAGGCGACUACCUGGACCAGCACUGACACUGAGGCACGAAAGCGUGGGGAGCAAACAGG